rnacentral:rRNA from 1 species
GGCUUAGAGUUUGAUCAUGGCUCAGGAUGAACGCUGGCGGCGUGCCUAACACAUGCAAGUCGAACGAAGCGCUUUACUUUGAUUUCUUCGGGAUGAAGAGUUUUGUGACUGAGUGGCGGACGGGUGAGUAACGCGUGGGUAACCUGCCUCAUACAGGGGGAUAACAGUUAGAAAUGACUGCUAAUACCGCAUAAGACCACAGCUUCGCAUGGAGCAGUGGUAAAAACUCCGGUGGUAUGAGAUGGACCCGCGUCUGAUUAGCUAGUUGGUAAGGUAAGGGCUUACCAAGGCGACGAUCAGUAGCCGGCCUGAGAGGGUGGGCGGCCACAUUGGGACUGAGACACGGCCCAAACUCCUACGGGAGGCAGCAGUGGGGAAUAUUGCACAAUGGGGGAAACCCUGAUGCAGCGACGCCGCGUGAGCGAAGAAGUAUUUCGGUAUGUAAAGCUCUAUCAGCAGGGAAGAAACUGACGGUACCUGACUAAGAAGCACCGGCUAAAUACGUGCCAGCAGCCGCGGUAAUACGUAUGGUGCAAGCGUUAUCCGGAUUUACUGGGUGUAAAGGGAGCGUAGACGGAUAGGCAAGUCUGGAGUGAAAACCCGGGGCUCAACCCCGGGACUGCUUUGGAAACUGUUUAUCUAGAGUGCUGGAGAGGUAAGUG